GUACGAGAUGACGACGUUAGCAAGGUUACCCUUCUGGCUUGGCCUGGGCAGGGUUAUGGACGCCACUGGUUAUCUUCAGGACUCUUAGUCCAAUUUGUAUAUUGUCCGUACUCGGACGUAUUCGAAUUCGAACUUCUGUAUGAUUUGGAUCUUUGUAUUGUAUAUUUGUAUCUUGACUCGUUGGAGUCGUUGUUGUGUAUAUGUAUCUUGUGGGCUCUAUUGUAAUCCUGUUGUAAUGUUACCGCUCGUGUUAAUUCCUCUGGCAUCACGUGUGUGACUCUUCGCGCACGUCGUGUCGGAGGGCGUCUCUGAAUCGAUAUCAUGCGGAUUUUGGCAGGAUCGCUGGAAUCCUCAUGGUACCGGUUCCGGGGCGUCACAGGUUGGUAUCAGAGCUCAGGUUGACGGUACCCCACUAGUCCAGCCUGUAGGAUAACCUUGUCAACGGAUGUUGUUGUGUAGAGUGUCAAAACUAUUUUCUAAAACUCGUUGGAUAGAUCUGAUUAGCUCUGAUUUUUCUCCUUAUCCCUAUUCUUUCCCUUCUUACCUUUUCGAGUUUUUGAGUCUUCUCUCUUAUCUGAGUUUUCUCCGAGUCUUAGGAUCCGACGUGGGUUGGACGAUCUAUGCAUUAUCCUAAUAGGUCCGCUCUCGGAAGAUUUUCCAACAGAAGAAACAUCAACGGCGACUAUCCUUUGUCUUACCUGUUGAUGUCAUCUUUGUUCCGUGAUCCGUCUUCAAUUCUUUGUGCCUUGACCCGUCGGAUCUUCACUGUCAACGCUUGUCAGGAUCGCCAAUCUGAAUGCUGGGAGUUGGUUGCACGAUUCUCCUAUUCAUGUACGGAGUAAUACUUUGGGUGCGGAAUGGAUUGGCCCCCAUGCCGACUACUCUUAUUAUUCACUCUUGUUACAUUGAAUUGGUGAAUCAGUGUGAUUAUUACUCCUUUUCUCUUUGUUCUACGGAGCCUGGUCUUCUGCAAUACGAGUUCCAACAGAAGCACCUCAUCAUCGACGGGACAACGACUUCUUGUUGGUGGUGUCGCCGUUCUACAUGGAGUAACAAUUCUUGUUAGUGGUGUCGAGAAGAUCGACACAUCGCCUGAAGAUCCGAUAGUUCACCUCUCUCCCCAGUACCAUGGCGUGGAACCUCGGGGCGAGGUUCCUUGUUAGUGGUGUCGAUUGUAACGGCCCCGGGUAAUACCCCUCUUAGAUUUGUUUGUUCCUUUUGUUUUGUGCAUAUAAUCAUGACAUCUUAUCACCAUACAUGUUUUUUAAUAAAACAACAAAAAUGAUUAUUUUAUUUAAACUCUAUUUUGUUUUGCAAUUAUACCAAGGUUUUAUAAAGCCUAUGCCCUCUUAUUCCUUUUUAAUAAAACCCAAAACAACAAUAUUAGUGUUUUGGAUAUUUACAAACUUGCUUGCAAACCAGUGCCAAAGCUUUUUCGGGUAUCUUCCAAAACUGUUCCCAAAUCGUUUUCCUAAACUCUCUCUUUUAUUCUCCUGUUCCCUACAAAAUCUGUGAAAAAGGGAAAGAAGGAAGAAGAAAAAUCAUAAGAAGAAGAAGAGAGAAAAGACCCCAGCAACCCAUUGAUCCUUGCAGCUACCACGUCCACUCCCUUCGUGGCCUCUUCUUCCUGCUUGGCCCAUACCACUUCUGCACGCCAUCUCUUCCCUUCUUUUUCUCUGUCGUCUUUUUCAACCAGCCACGCAGGAGGCGUGUUCUUUUCUUCCCCACGCGGUCGACGCCAACCACCAUCCGAACCUGCUCCCCUCCUGACCCCAGCAAACCCUAGCCCGCUUCCUCUCCAUGCUCGUGCCGCCGCCCCUUCUUUUCCCUCAACCACGCAGACGAGAGAGACAAAAGCUUCAGAGAAAAACACCGAACACAUCCGUCGCAGCCUCGCCGUCGCCCCGUUUUCUCCGACCACCUUUCGCCGAGCCAAGGCCACCAAGAGCUUCCCCUCAUCAAGCUGUUCAUCAUCGACCCAGGAACUCCUCGAAUCCAGCACGCAAUCGACGCCAACGACCCCGUCCUCUUCCCCGACUCCGGCGAGGAAACCGCUGUUUUCGUCAGCCUCCGACGCCGUCCGCCCCCUCCGAGGUGUUCAUCAGUUUCCUGGUGAGAUGGCGCCCCUUUUCCCUCUCUUCCCCGUCCUAUUUGCUCGCUGUUUGGCGUCGCCAAAUUCUGACGGCACUGUCGCCCUUUUCUGUCCGAGAUACGCCGCCUGAGUUCUCUAUCCUUGCUGUCGCCAUGGACCUCGCUGCGCCCGGCUAGCGCUGGGAGCGCGUUUUUCGUCUUCCACUUCAUCACAUCGUCAUCUCCGUCUCCUUCGAAGUACGACUACAGCAGCAACCCCCGGCUGCAGUUCCACCUUUGGUGCUGUGGUGUUCUGAUGUUCCCUUGCUUCUGUUGCACUUCAACGGCAACCAUGUCAACCGUAUACACGAGCAAGUCCUUCUGGUUGGUCACUUGAUCCAAUUCCCAGGGCAACCAAGAUCCAAUCCCAGGUGAAACGCACAGCCAUCCUGCUUGCUGUGUGUUGCUUCAAUUCAGAACCUCAUUUGCUUCUUCCCGGAUAGGAUCACGAAGUGGUGAUGUAAGAUACGACGAGUUCUCCGACAAGUUCUUCUGGAGCUUUUCACA